UACGUAGGGGGCUAGCGUUGUUCGGAAUUACUGGGCGUAAAGCGCACGUAGGCGGAUUGGAAAGUUGGGGGUGAAAUCCCGGGGCUCAACCCCGGAACUGCCUUCAAAACUCCCAGUCUGGAGGUCGAGAGAGGUGAGUGGAAUUCCGAGUGUAGAGGUGAAAUUCGUAGAUAUUCGGAAGAACACCAGUGGCGAAGGCGACUCACUGGACACGUAUUGACGCUGAGGUGCGAAAGCGUGGGGAGCAAACAGG
rnacentral:rRNA from 1 species